AUCUUGAAAAGUUAUGCGUAAUGGACUACUGGAACGUGUCAUUCAGAUACCGGACGAAGAAGAUAUCUCAUUUCUCAGAUAAACCGCCUGGGUGCCCGUCUCCAAGUGAUAUGUGCCCGUCUCCAAGUGAUAUGUGCCUUUAUCAUUUGCCUUUGGCCUUAUCAGAACCCAUCGAGCAGAUAAGGCUCAUUCAUUCUUCUUUCUCUUUCUUCUUAUUUCUUCUUUUCGUUCUUCUUCUUUUCUUCAUCAUUUGUUGAUGGAUUUGAGAAUCAAUUCAUGAUCCUAAGAUUGUUGUUAAGCUGGUAAAGAGUCACACAGGAGUUUUAGUGGUGAAGAUGGUUAUGUGUUUAUUUAUGUUCAGCAGAAAAAGAGGAUUCCAGAGAAUCGUCAUUAGGGUUGUUAUUAUUUCGGUGAAGGCUUGAUUUGAGACACCAAUUGAAGAUGGGUAUCGAGAACAUGAAUAGAAGAAGACGAUUGUUGUGUCAAUUCAAAGAUUAGAUUUCAGAGAAGAAGAGUAAUCGAAGAAUUAAGGUUUCAUGUUCUUCCCCAAUUUAAGAAUUAGGGUUUUUGAGAAUUGAAGAUGGUAAUGAAGGUUGUUGGUGUUGAUUCAAGACUCAGGAGGAAAGGGUAAGAUCAAUUUAAGAUUCCAGAAUUCAUUUAUCCUUAUUUUGUGAAAAUUUGAGUUUGAGAAUUGAAGUUCCUAGGUUGGGUCUGCUGUGUAUGGUUUAGUUUGGUCUCAUAAUGAAUUGAUGAGAUGAAUUAGUUGUGGUGGUGUUAAUGUUGAUGUUACAGGGGAAGAGAUGUGUAUUGGUGGUGGAGCUGUAAUUGUAAUUGAGUUGGAGAAUUAGGAAUGAAGAUUACAGUUGGUAAUGAUUUGGCAGAUUUGUUAUAAGGGGUGUGUUGGUUAUUGCAGAACUGGAGUUGCAGUUGCAGAGUUGUGUUGCUGUUGAGUUUUAGAUGUAUGAAUUAGUUCUGAGAUGAAUGGAUAAUGAAAUUGUGUAAUUGGUGGUGGUUUGUUGAAUUACAGUCAAAGUUCUUUGAGUUGGAGUAGUAUGUAUAAGUGAUGGUUAGAAAGUGGUGGCAUUGCAGAGUUGUUAUGAUGAAUGGAAUCGCAGGUUAUGUGAUUUGGAUACUGUGUUUGUUGUUGAGCAUAUCUAGAAUGGACGAGUGUUUGUCGAUUUUGUAGAUGCACAGUGUUGUCUGAUUUGAAGUUUAUAUGUAGGAAUUAGGGGAUUUAUGAGCUGUUAUAGGUGAAGUGAGAUGAGAAAAGAGUAGUUGAAUUAAGAAUGAUUUGGUGAGGAAUUGGCUAUGAUAGAGCUAAACAACUUUGAGAUGAAUUGAGUAAGAAUGUUGCUUAGAGCUGCAAUUGCAGGUAGGUUGUGUAAUCUUUGUAAAUCCAUUUUGAGUUAUAAUUUGAAUGAUUGAACUGAUGCUUUAUUAGAUUGAAGCUGAACUUGAGUUAAGAUUGUAGAGUUAGAAAUCUAGAUGUGUGAGAAGGACCCUUGGUCUGUCUGGCUGAGCUUAUUUAGUCGCAUUCAUUUUUGUUUAGUUGACUCAGUGAAUAUUGACCGAGUUAACCCUUUUGACAAGACCUUGACCCUUAGACUGACGUUGACCGUUAAUUGACCUUCUGACUUGACAACGACUGUUAGUGACCGUUAGUUAACUCAGAUGGACUGGACCUUAAAUUAAUGGGCUGGAUUGGUUUACUUGGGCUUAGUUACCAUGUAUUUCUAGUUUGAUAUUUUGGACCCCUUACGGGUCCGAAUUAGUUUUUGGUUUCUUCUACAUAGUUGUGGAUCUUCUUAAGACUUAUCUAAUGGACCAUAGAAGCAACCCAAUUGAGUUAGUAAACUCUUAGAUUAUUAAAGGUAGAGAAUGAAAGAGAUGUAAAACUAUAAAUGGGCCUAGAAGCAUUAGAUAGUUCACUUAGUUUAUAACUAGAGAAUUAUAUGAAAUUAUGUUGUGAAAUUUGUACGAGCCUUUUGGAUAAACUCUUGGAGUGAUUGUGUGAUUAACAGUUAGUCUUUAUUAACAACGAUCAAAUGGAUGGAUGAACUAAUGGAGUAUAGAACGCAAGGUAGGCGAGGCUUGUCAUCAAACCAGUUUCAGUUACCAGAAGAAAUGAUGCACGUGAAGAUAUCCAUGUUCAUAGUUUAAAUUGUUACCGAAAUUGUGUUACAUUUGUGUAUCUUUUUUUGUAUGUGUACUCUUCAUUUAUUGUAAAACAACAUACUAAUAUAUUAA